rnacentral:rRNA from 1 species
AGAGGUGGCGAGCGUUGUUCGGAUUUAUUGGGCGUAAAGCGUACGCAGGCGGUUUGGUAAGUCAGAGGUGAAAUCCUACAGCUUAACUGUGGAAAUGCCUUUGAUACUGCCUUUCUUGAGUGCAUGAGGGGGAAGCGGAAUUCCGAGUGUAGAGGUGAAAUUCGUAGAUAUUCGGAGGAACACCGGUGGCGAAGGCGGCUUCCUGGCAUGUAACUGACGCUCAUGUACGAAAGCGUGGGGAGCAAACAGGAUUAGAUACCCUGGUAGUCCACGCCCUAAACGAUGGGCACUAGGUGUGGGAGGUAUCGACCCCUUCCGUGCCGCAGCUAACGCAUUAAGUGCCCCGCCUGGGGAGUACGGCCGCAAGGUG